rnacentral:rRNA from 1 species
CUGGUGCCAGCAGCCGCGGUAAUUCCAGCUCCAAUAGCGUAUAUUAAAGUUGUUGCAGUUAAAAAGCUCGUAGUUGAAUUUCGGGGUUAGUAGGUUGGUCAUGCCUCUGGUAUGUACUGGCCUCACUGAUUCCUCCUUCCUGAUGAACCGUAAUGCCAUUAAUUUGGUGUUGCGGGGAAUUUGGACUGUUACUUUGAAAAAAUUAGAGUGUUUAAAGCAAGCUAACGCUUGAAUACAUUAGCAUGGAAUAAUGAAAUAGGACGUUCGAUCCUAUUUUGUUGGUUUCUAGGAUUGACGUAAUGAUUAAUAGGGAUAGUUGGGGGCAUUAGUAUUCAAUUGUCAGAGGUGAAAUUCUUGGAUUUAUUGAAGACUAACUACUGCGAAAGCAUUUGCCAAGGAUGUUUUCAUUAAUCAAGAACGAAAGUUAGGGGAUCGAAGACGAUCAGAUACCGUCGUAGUCUUAACCAUAAACUAUGCCGACUAGGGAUCGGAUGAUGUUAAUUUUUUAAUGACUCAUUCGGCGCCUUACG